CCUACGGGAGGCAGCAGUGGGGAAUAUUGCACAAUGGGGGAAACCCUGAUGCAGCGACGCCGCGUGAGUGAAGAAGCGCCUCGGCGCGUAAAGCUCUGUCAGCAGGAACGAUAAUGACGGUACCUGAAGAAGAAGCCCCGGCUAACUACGUGCCAGCAGCCGCGGUAAUACGUAGGGGGCAAGCGUUAUCCGGAUUUACUGGGUGUAAAGGGAGCGUAGACGGCGGGGCAAGUCUGGAGUGAAAGGCCGGGGCCCAACCACGGAACUGCAUUUGAAACUGUCGGUCUUGAGUAUCGGAGAGGCAGGCGGAAUUCCUAGUGUAGCGGUGAAAUGCGUAGAUAUUAGGAGGAACACCAGUGGCGAAGGCGGCCUGCUGGACGACAACUGACGGUGAGGCGCGAAAGCGUGGGGAGCAAACAGGAUUAGAUACCCCAGUAGUC
rnacentral:rRNA from 1 species